rnacentral:rRNA from 1 species
CUCAGGACGAACGCUGGCGGCGUGCCUAAUACAUGCAAGUCGAACGCUUCUUUUCCCACCGGAGCUUGCUCCACCGGGAAAAGAGGAGUGGCGAACGGGUGAGUAACACGUGGGUAACCUGCCCAUCAGAAGGGGAUAACACUUGGAAACAGGUGCUAAUACCGUAUAACAAUCGAAACCGCAUGGUUUCGUUUUGAAAGGCGCUUUACGGUGCCGCUGAUGGAUGGACCCGCGGUGCAUUAGCUAGUUGGUGAGGUAACGGCUCACCAAGGCCACGAUGCAUAGCCGACCUGAGAGGGUGAUCGGCCACAUUGGGACUGAGACACGGCCCAAACUCCUACGGGAGGCAGCAGUAGGGAAUCUUCGGCAAUGGACGAAAGUCUGACCGAGCAACGCCGCGUGAGUGAAGAAGGUUUUCGGAUCGUAAAACUCUGUUGUUAGAGAAGAACAAGGGUGAGAGUAACUGUUCACCCCUUGACGGUAUCUAACCAGAAAGCCACGGCUAACUACGUGCCAGCAGCCGCGGUAAUACGUAGGUGGCAAGCGUUGUCCGGAUUUAUUGGGCGUAAAGCGAGCGCAGGCGGUUUCUUAAGUCUGAUGUGAAAGCCCCCGGCUCAACCGGGGAGGGUCAUUGGAAACUGGGAGACU